rnacentral:lncRNA from 1 species
GGGAGACCGUGGGCGGAGGUGAUACAACCUGACUGAUGAUGGCUGACAAAAGAAGAAGAAAGUAGCUGAGAACCAGCAGCUGAAGAAAGCAAGAAAAUAUGAGUGAAGUCACAAAUGUCACCAAGGAAAGGAAGAACAGAAAAAUAACUUGAAUAUUCAAGAUGGGCAGCCUAGUUCAACGACACAUCAAGCCUUGUGAAAAGGUGACUCCGAGAUUCAGAUGCUGCCCAAGCCAACCCGAGUUUACCAGGUUCCAGGAAUGACCUUGAAUUCCAGAUCCUUCUGCCCCCAUCAUCUGAGUGCUGGGUUACGGUUGGGUGGCUAUACCUGCCUCUCACCUGGGUCUUUGAAACAAAAGAGGGAAGAAAGAAAGAAGGAAAGAAAGAAAGAAAGAA